CUAUGGCCAUUCCAUCCUGAGCACAUGCUGAUCAUGUCUGAUCUCAGAAGCUAAGCAGGGUCGAGCCUGAUUAGUACUUGGAUAGGAGACUACUACCUGCCCAGGAUUUGGAGCUCUAAAGG
rnacentral:rRNA from 1 species